CCUACGGGGGGCAGCAGUGAGGAAUAUUGGUCAAUGGACGAGAGUCUGAACCAGCCAAGUAGCGUGAAGGAUGACUGCCCUAUGGGUUGUAAACUUCUUUUAUAAAGGAAUAAAACGAGGCACGUGUGCCUUUUUGCAUGUACUUUAUGAAUAAGGAUCGGCUAACUCCGUGCCAGCAGCCGCGGUAAUACGGAGGAUCCGAGCGUUAUCCGGAUUUAUUGGGUUUAAAGGGAGCGUAGAUGGGUUGUUAAGUCAGUUGUGAAAGUUUGGGGGUCAACCGUAAAAUUGCAAUUGAUACUGGCAGUCUUGAGUACAGGUGAGGUAGGCGGAAUGCGUGGUGUAGCGGUGAAAUGCUUAGAGAUCACGCAGAACCCCGAUUGCGAAGGCAGCUUACUAAUCUAUGACUGACGUUGAGGCACGAAAGUGUGGGUAUCAAACAGGAUUAGAUACCCCAGUAGUC
rnacentral:rRNA from 1 species